rnacentral:lncRNA from 1 species
UUGUUAUCAAGAAAUGAGAAGAUUGAUAGUGUUAUUAGUGUUCUUGUUUUGCUAAAUUUUGUAUAUUGUUAUCAAGAAAUGAGAAUAUUGAUAGUGUUUUAUAGUCUUCUUAUUUUGCUAAAUUUUGUAUAUUAUUAUCAAUAAAUGAGAAGGUUGAUAGUGUUAUUAGUGUUCUUGUUUUGCUAAAUAUUGUAUAUUGUUAUCAAGAAAUGAGAAGAUUGAUAGUGUAAUUAAUGUUCUUGUUUUGCUAAAUUUUGUAUAUUGUUAUCAAGAAAUGAGAAGGUUGAUAGUGUUAUUAGUGUUCUUGUU